CUAGGUCAUAGUAUCUAAGGUAGGUCUGGGCUGUAAUAUCUAAGCUAGGUCUGGGCUGUAAUAUCUAAGCUAGGUCUGGGCUGUAAUAUCUAAGCUAGGUCUGGGCUGUAAUAUCUAAGCUAGGUCUGGGCUGUAAUAUCUAAGCUAGGUCUGGGCUGUAAUAUCUAAGCUAGGUCUAGGCUGUAAUAUCUAAGCUAGGUCUGGGCUGUAAUAUCUAAGCUAGGUCUGGGCUGUAAUAUCUAAGCUAGGUCUAGGCUGUAAUAUCUAAGCUAGGUCUAGGUCAUAGUAUCUGAGCUAGGUCUAGGCUGUAAUAUCUAAGCUAGGUCUAGGCUGUAAUAUCUAAGCUAGGUCUAGGCUGUAAUAUCUAAGCUAGGUCUAGGUCAUAGUAUCUGAGCUAGGUCCAGGUCAUAGCAUCUAAGUUAGGUCCAAGUCAUAUUAUCUAAGCUAGGUCUAGGCUGUAAUAUCUAAGCUAGGUCUAGGCUGUAAUAUCUAAGCUAGGUCUAGGCUGUAAUAUCUAAGCUAGGUCUAGGCUGUAAUAUCUAAGCUAGGUCUAGGCUGUAAUAUCUAAGCUAGGUCUAGGUCAUAGUAUCUGAGCUAGGUCUAGGUCAUAGCAUCUAAGCUAGGUCUAGGCUGUAAUAUCUAAGCUAGGUCUAGGUCAUAGUAUCUGAGCUAGGUCUAGGUCAUAUCAUCUAAGCUAGGUCCAGGUCAUAUUAUCUAAGCUAGGUCUAGGUCACAGUAUCCAAGCUUAAGUCCAUAGUAUCAAACUCUUCGGAGCCUCAGUCUAUGUACUUAAAAAGACGCUCGCGGAAGUUGUCGGGGUUCCCAUGGGUGGUUUCCUGAGCCUGCAUGGCGGCAGUGUCGCCAGGCGUCCGCGCCGUGAACGGGAAAACACUCAUGACUGAAGAUCCACGGAAAAAUUGCCCGGAGUAAUAGCCCCGUACACUCUCUAUAGCUCCGGCGGGCAGCGUGACACAAGCAAGUUGGCGCCACUAUAAACACUUGCCUGCCGGGGUCGACCAGCAGGACCCACCAAGACAGUCUACCGGCGCUACAGGUUAAAGAAAAAAAAAAGGAAAAAAAGCUUGACCUACCUUCUUAAGUGCAGCAAUAACGCUCCUGCCGCGAAGCUAAAUCUCUUAAGGCGGCAAAACAGCUCCUUAUCCACUUGACCACGCCGCCCUAUGUGUGUGUGCGUGUGUGUGUGCGUGUGCGUGCGUGUGUGUGUGUGUGUAUGCGUCGCCACCUUUUCAAAGAGACCGAGAAAAGUGUCACGAAGGUUCCAUUGUGGC